rnacentral:lncRNA from 10 species
AAAAGGAUGGCUACACACAGAGCAGCUUUUGUAUAGCUAUACCAUUUAUCUUGGACCUGGCAAUUGAGACUAAAGAAAGGUGUUAUCAGACAAAAGUAGUGCUUUGGGAAGUAGGAAGAAGACACCUUGGGUGCAAAAAAAUGCCAUGAAGAAUUGAAAUGGUUGAAGCUCAUAUUAGAGUACUUGUUUCAGACAUCUGUCUUGCUCUUCAGCCCCUACUUUUACCAAGAGAGAGGAGGAAAAGUCUAGAGAGCAAACAGACUCAAGAAAACAAACCUGAGCUUGGGACAAAAACAAUCUUACAGUAUUGAUAAAGCUCAAGCAUUGAGAAAGAAAAGCAAAAAGAGGCCUAUCUGUAACACAAGAGUGACUGAUUUGUGCAUUGGCAUGUAAUCUAAAGUGGUCAAAUCAAUGUGACUGUCAGAUUCCUCCAGGGACUUGUGGG